AUACGGAGGGUGCGAGCGUUGUUCGGAAUCACUGGGCGUAAAGGGCGCGCAGGCGGUCUGUCAAGUCAGAUGUGGAAGCCCACGGCUCAACCGUGGACGUGCAUCUGAAACUGGCAGACUCGAGUACCGGAGGGGAAAGUGGAAUUCCCGGUGUAGAGGUGAAAUUCGUAGAUAUCGGGAGGAAUACCGGAGGCGAAGGCGACUUUCUGGACGGAUACUGACGCUGAGGCGCGAAAGCGUGGGGAGCGAACAGGAUUAGAAACCCUAGUAGUCC
rnacentral:rRNA from 1 species